GCUUACGGCCAUACCACCUUAGGCACGCCCGAUCUCGUCUGAUCUCGGAAGCUAAGCAGGGUCGGGGCUGGUUAGUACUUGGAUGGGUGAAUGUCUGGGAAUACCAGGUGCUGUAAGCA
ensembl:rRNA 5S_rRNA 5S ribosomal RNA